CAGUGGAGUUGAGGGUAUCUUGCUAAAGAUCCUUGCCUACCAGAGGCCUUCUAAGGUACUCCAGCACUUCCUUCUGCCGGCCAGGUUCCACCCCUGUGGCUUCCCUAUGACAUCUGCUUCCACCUGGCCCAAGCUGCCCAUGAGCAGGUGGCCAGAAGAAAAGGACAACAGCACGAGGUGGCUAUGGCACUGCUCACACACAUGCCUAGCCCGAGAGGGAAUGUUAUUGCUCUGGCUGAGGUACUCCUGGAUGGGAAGUGAGGAAUAGAAACAAUGAAGAAAUUUUGUUCCAAACACAAAAGGACAUGUGCCAUAGAAGAACUGAGACCUGAAAGUGUGAAGAGGGACCAAGACGUAGGAAGGAAGAGAUAAGGCUAAAGGUCUGGCACUGAUGUCUGAAAGACAGUAGUGGCUGAAUUACAAGUAUAUGAGCCCACCCAGGAGCAGGCACGCAGUAGAUCUACAGGAUUUGUGCUCUUUUGAAUUCUGGGCAAAAACUCUUAGGAACCAGAUCAGGCACAACUUAUGCCGAUGUUUGCAUAGGUUAUUCUCUCUACUCAGAGACAUCAAUACACAAAAGAUGUGUCUGGCUGCUAUGUAGCAGAGAAGAGGAAGCUUUGUGUGGCAACUGCAUCCCAAAACAAUCCCUUUUCAGGAGGCGUCUUCCUUUGAGCACGCUCAGCAGCAUCAGAGCUACCUUGUGCAAGCAGAAAGGUGUGAGGUACCAGCAAGUGCAUGGGACAAGGGGAUGAUGAGAGCUAGACUAUUGCGAUGUAAAACUGAUGAAGAGCUACCCCAGGAAACCAAACUGGACCAAAAUAUAAUGGGGGCAACUGCUCACAAGUGCAGACAACAAGAAAAAGGAGAAAUCUGUCAUUGUGAUGGAAUCCCUACAAACUUAGCAUGGAUGAGCAUCGUUUUGAUGAAACCAUAAGACUCCUUUAAUGGAAACUGGGGGCUGCAUGAGAGUCACCACUACAGAGAAUUCUGCAUUUCUAAUGGCCUGAGUUAUUUAAUGGCUUAUCUGAAAUGCUCUGAGAGCUGCCUGGCACUGCCAGAGCCAGCAUGAGAGCAGUCAUGGUCAGAUGAGGCUUUCCCACAGGUUUCCCUUGGAGGAUGAGAUCCUUUUCUGGCAAGCCAUAUGAGCUCAGUAAGAUUCUCGUUAUGGCCAAGCUCACAUGCCAUAUAUGUCCUCUAUUAGUUUUGCCUUGGGGUAAUUUUUCUGAUGGCCAAAGACAAGAUCCCUGGCAGUCAAGCUCAUGGACCCAGUGUUCACCUUUUGCCUUUGCUGGUUCUAAAGAACAAGGACAUGGCCAGCUAACCAAUAAAUAAUUUGGCAAAUAGCAACAGAAAGGAAGAAUCAGACUUUUCUUAAGAAAAGCUAUCAUUGCACUUUACUGAGGUAAUUGUUUCCUACUAGGUGGUACCUUGACAGCCGGAAGAACACAGGCUGUAAGUGUUCAGAGCUGCAUGCUUUCCAGGUAAUUUGAUUUCCCGUACAACAUACUCCUGGGGAAGGCAUUGACCAGCUGCUUCUUGAGGAACUCCACUUGCUCCUCCUGCUGAGGAGACCUCAGCUCUGCAUGGGUUGCAAAGGCUUUUCCCUGUGUGCCCUGUCUGGUUGCAGUUCCCCUGCUGGGUUGCCCAUCCCAAGGUGAAGCCAGCCCUGCAUGUGUUGCAAAACUUUCCUCUCCAAGUGACUUCAUCGUGCCAAGCAGUAAUGGCUCUGGUAUGAUGCUCAGAGCAUUUCCUGAGAAAAAAGGACAUUGUCAUAGCCGGGGUCUUAUACAAUGCGCUCCACAAAAGGAGGGAAGGAAGGUAAAUAUAGAAAAUUGAGGAGAUAUUCUGCAUUGAGAGACACAACAAAAGGAAAACUGCCAGGAAAUGACUCCACAAUGGGGCCAAAUUCAGACUCCUUGGUACUAAACACUCACAUAGACAACCCCCAUCCUCCAGCAGCUGAACAAGGAGCGCCCAGCACCCCUGGAAACUGGGAAAGCCCUAGAUAGAAAUCAGUGAGGCUCUUCCCACUGGGUUUGAGAGCUAAGCUCUUACUGAAUAUCUAAAACAAGCCUUUAGGUUGGUUGCUGUAAGCUUUCAGUUCUAGCAGUGUGAGCCUAGUUAGGUCUACAUAAAGCAUCUUUCUCUGCAGAUAUUAACAGACCUAUUCAUAUUCACUGCACUCAGAGCUAGAGAAGAUGUUGAUACAACCCAAGCCCAUUUAUUCCCUUGCUGUCUGGUCUAGGCCAGUCAUCCUUGCACUCUCCAAAGUCAAGGGAGAGAGAAAGAAGUAUUUCCAAAGGAUAAUUCAUCCCAUCCCAAGAUAAAUGGUGUUAGCAGGCGGAGGAGAGGUUAAACUGCUCUUUGAAGAUGCCUCCACGGGUUAGCAGGAAGCAUGACUUAGACUAAACACCUACCCACUAAAUAAGGAAGGGAUGAAUCCCACCAUUAUGGUCUAAAUUGAUAAUACAAUACAGAUGUGUAGAGCAGUAAGUGACCAGAUGGUGAAUUUAUCACACUACAGUGUAGUUUCUUGUAAUAUAAAUACAGGCUGAUUAAAUAGUUGAUUUGCUCAACAGAGCAUCUCAGCUUCAUUACGAGAGCUAGUCUGGAGUCAUUACAAGUCAACACAGGGCCCUGUGUAUGUUUUUAGAAAAUAUGAUGGUCUGGAAAUAAAAGAUGUGCAAGCAGCAAUUUUUGGUCAAUUAAUCUAAGGUUCUCUGUACUGAAAAAGAAUCCUGGCAUCCAUUUUUCCAUGCUAUGUGCAGAAAUGAUAUUUAAUGCCAAAUUACAUUUAAAUGAACAAAACCGCUGCAAGACUACAAUACAUUAGGACUACUAAACUUAGCCUCUCCAUGUAUUCCCUUGUGCCUCAGAAUCAAUGGUAUUAUUUUGAACAAGAAAAACAGAUUUUUCUUCAAGGCUCUCUGGUUUACUGAGCUACCCAAAUGCUUUGACAAAACUGUAUCUGAUACUGUGGGGUACUGAAAAUAAAGAAGAAAGUUAAAAUAAAAAAAAAUAGGGCUUUCAUAAAUCAUCCUGUCUGCUGGAAGCAGUUCCCUACAGUCUGAAUGUGAGCAGCCUACAUCCAGCAUCUCCCAGGGCAGGACAUGCAUGGGGAUCUGACAUGCAGCUGCAGUCAGAGCAGAUCCUGCCAUCUCCACUACAACAGCACACAACCAUCCUUCAGGCCAGGCUGCCUAUAGCUUGGAGGAGGCACAAUGACCACAAGACCUGCUAGCCUCUCUGUGAUGCAAGCAGCAAGCUCACAUCCAUGUUGCCACCUUCCCUACACAGCUAUGGGAUGGUGCAUGAAGCCAAAGUCCUGGUGUGGGUGAUUCCAGAAGACCUCAGCAUGGCCGCACAGAGCAGCAGGGAGAUCUUUUGGAUGGGGGGCAGGUUGCCUUCAAAGCACCAAAGAGAAUGUCCUUCAAAAGAAGGAACGUGCUCAGAUGUUCUGCCAGCACAGUGUCAAGCCACUUAUGGGAAUGUUUUCAGCAAAUAUCAGCCCAGUUCUUCCCCGGCCUUUGCUGAGGACCUCUUAGCAAGCACAAUUGGGUCCCCCACAAAGCACUUUCCCCAGGUAUAUUUUGGGUUUGGAAAAAUCCUCUAAGAGGUGUUAUGUUCAUAGAAC
ensembl:lncRNA